UCAUACUCAGUGCUCUUUCGA
rnacentral:piRNA from 1 species